UACGGAGGGUGCAAGCGUUAUCCGGAUUCACUGGGUUUAAAGGGUGCGUAGGCGGGCAGGUAAGUCAGUGGUGAAAUCUCCGAGCUUAACUCGGAAACUGCCGUUGAUACUAUUUGUCUUGAAUAUUGUGGAGGUAAGCGGAAUAUGUCAUGUAGCGGUGAAAUGCUUAGAUAUGACAUAGAACACCAAUUGCGAAGGCAGCUUACCACACAACGAUUGACGCUGAGGCACGAAAGCGUGGGGAUCAAACAGG
rnacentral:rRNA from 1 species